GGUCCCGCCUGCCCUGUGACUAUAUGUUUAACGGCCGCGGUAUCUUGACCGUGCGAAGGUAGCGUAAUCACUUGUCUUUUAAAUGGAGACCCGUAUGAAUGGCAUGACGAGGGCUUAACUGUCUCCUUUCUCAAGUCAAUGAAAUUGAUCUCCCCGUGCAGAAGCGGGGAUUACACCAUAAGACGAGAAGACCCUAUGGAGCUUUAGACACAAGGCAGAUCAUGUUAAACACCCCAAAACAAAGGACCGAACCCCGUGAACCCCGCCCUAAUGUCUUUGGUUGGGGCGACCACGAGGAAAAAGAACCCCCGUGCGGACUGGGGGCAUACCCCCCUACCACCAAGAGCUCCCGCUCUAAUGACCAGAAUUUCUGACCAAACAGAUCCGGCACUGCCGAUCAACGGACCGAGUUACCCUAGGGAUAACAGCGCAAUCCCCUUUUAGAGCCCAUAUCGACAAGGGGGUUUACGACCUCGAUGUUGGAUCAGGACAUCCUAAUGGUGCAGCCGCUAUUAAGGGUUCGUUUGUUCAACGAUUAAAGUCCUACGUGAUCUGAGU
rnacentral:rRNA from 1 species